CCUACGGGGGGCUGCAGUGAGGAAUAUUGGUCAAUGGACGAGAGUCUGAACCAGCCAAGUAGCGUGAAGGAUGAAUGCCCUAUGGGUUGUAAACUUCUUUUAUAAAGGAAUAAAACGAGGCCCGUGAGCCUUUUUGCUUGUACUUUAUGAAUAAGGAUCGGCUAACUCCGUGCCAGCAGCCGCGGUAAUACGGAGGAUACGAGCGUUACGAGGAUUUAUUGGGUUUAAAGGGAGCGUAGAUGGGUUGUUAAGUCAGUUGUGAAAGUUUGCGGCUCAACAGUAAAAUUGCAAUUGAUACUGGCAGUCUUGAGUACAGUUGAGGUAGGCGGAAUUCGUGGUGUAGCGGUGAAAUGCUUAGAUAUCACGAAGAACCCCGAUGGCGAAGGCAGCUUACUAAACUGUGACUGACAUUGAUGCUCGAAAGUGUGGGUAGCAAACAGGAUUAGAUACCCUUGUAGUC
rnacentral:rRNA from 1 species